AUAUCAAUAAGCGGAGGAAAAGAAACUAACAAGGAUUCCCCUAGUAACGGCGAGUGAAGCGGGAACAGCUCAAAUUUGAAACCUGGCGUCCUUAGGGCGUCCGGAUUGUAUUCUAGAGAAGCGUCUUCCACGCUGGUCCACGUAUAAGUGCCCUGGAACGGGCUGUCAUAGAGGGUGAGAAUCCCGUCCUUGACGUGGGCUACCAGUGUUUUUGUGAUGCGCUUUCUAAGAGUCGAGUUGUUUGGGAAUGCAGCUCAAAGUGGGUGGUAAAUUCCAUCUAAAGCUAAAUAUUGGCCUGAGACCGAUAGCGAACAAGUACCGUGAGGGAAAGAUGAAAAGCACUUUGAAAAGAGAGUCAAACAGUACGUGAAAUUGCUGAAAGGGAAACGCUUGAAGUCAGUCGCGCCCCCUGGAAUUCAGCCCUGCUUUUGUAGGGUGUACUUUCCAGGGGGCGGGCCAACAUCAGUUUUGACCGGCAGAUAAAGGCUGGGGGAAUGUGGCUCCUUCGGGAGUGUUAUAGCCCCUGGUCACAUAUGCCGGUUGGGACUGAGGAACGCAGCGCGCCCUUGUGGCAGGCCUUCGGGCACUUUCGCGCUUAGGAUGUUGGCAUAAUGGCUUUAAGCGA
rnacentral:rRNA from 1 species